rnacentral:rRNA from 1 species
CACAUAAGAAGCACCGGCUAACUCCGUGCCAGCAGCCGCGGUAAUACGGAGGGUGCGAGCGUUAAUCGGAAUUACUGGGCGUAAAGGGUGCGUAGGUGGUUAAGUAAGUUAUCUGUGAAAUUCCAGGGCUUAACCUUGGAUGUGCAGAUAAUACUGUGUAACUCGAGUAUGGGAGAGGGUAGUGGAAUUUCCGGUGUAGCGGUGAAAUGCGUAGAGAUCGGAAGGAACACCAGUGGCGAAGGCGGCUACCUGGCCUAAUACUGACACUGAGGCACGAAAGCGUGGGGAGCAAACAGGAUU